GAGACGCACCCGGAUCCUGCCCAGCGCCCGGCCCAGCUAAACAGGCCCACGCGGCUCUCCUCUGAGCCCUUCCAGGAGGGUCACUUGUGUCUACCUUCUUGUGUCUCUAAGGCCCAGGCUCAGGCAUCCUUGGUGGAGGACAAGCCACAGACCUCUGGAGGGACCGUGUCCCCCCAGCAGCUGUGCGGGACCCUGGGGCCAGGGUGAGGCAGGAAGCAGAGGCCUCUCGCAGCAGCCCCAGCCCUCGCUCCAGCUGGCAGUCGUGCCCAGGCCCAGCGACUCCAGCAGAGGUGGGGACCUGUUCCCUGGCCCACCUUGCACUGGGGAACCAGCCCAGGAGCGGAGCCCACACGUGGGAGAGCCCCUGCCCCGAGGAACAUUCUUCAGGCCUCUGUGAAUGUCUGGAAGGAAUCACAGGAAGAAGGCAGGGGUGUGGCCUGGGUCAUUCCCAGCGGCUCGGCCCCAGAUGCCCUCAGGCACAGGCUUGGAUUCCCUGAGAGGGGGCCCAGAGAGAGUCUGAGCUGGGAAGGCGGUGACCACAGCCCAGAGGAAACUCCCGGAGCUGCCAGCAUGUCCGGGAUGGCGGCCACCCCGGGGCCCUCUGCAGCUCAGCCCCACGACCAGAUGUGUCCCUCUGGGGGAGAGAGGGGCCUCGGCCAAGGAGAAGGGUGAGAGCAACGACCCCCGAUGCCCAGCAGGGCUGUAAUCCAGAGGCCUCACGGCCCAGCAGGUAUGAUCCUGCCGGGUCCUGCAAGGUGGGCUCAGGACGCAACCCACUCUGUGUGUGAGGGAGCAGUGCCAGGUGGGGGUGGGUGUCAGGGAGGGCACGUGGACCCUGGAGCAGGGUCUGGAGUCUUCUGUGGGCAGAGACCUCAACAGCAGGUAGCUCCAAGGAAACCAGCUGUGACUCACCCCCAUGGCUGGCACUUACACACAGCCCACCCAGAGGCCCCAUAUCUGACACUGGACCAGGGAGACCUCGGGUCACAUUCUCAUCUCCUCCCCACCAACCCCCGGGGACCGAGGGGCGGGCUGGCAGGGCCGCGCCCGUGUGCAUGCAGGUGACACCAGGCCGGAGCCCAUGAGCGAGGAGUACCGGGGUUUUCAGGUCCUUGAGCUGGUUUCGCAGCUGGAAGAGCUCAGUGGAGGUAAGCAGGAUGGUGUUGAGGGUGUGGACCAUGGUUGAGGCGAACUUGAGGUCCUCCUCCCGGAGCAGGAUGUCUGCCAUUGAGUGGAAGAUGUUCUCCGCGUUCAGCAGGAGGCAGAGCUGCCUGAAAAACAGGCCGAGUGGGGGCUCCGGGGACCCCUGGGCCUCUGCCUCGGAGCCCUCUUACCGGGUCUUCCAGCUCCUGAGGGAGCAUCUUUCCCGGGCCUGGUGUGGGACCCCUGCUCUGGGGCCUGUGGGGGGCCCGAGGGGCUGCUCACGGCGGACCCGGCUCUACGCCUCCCGGCAACUCCGGGGCCCCACAGGCUGUGUCUACCCCCCCACCCCACCCCAGGCCGGAAAAUGGAAGCCUGAGAGGAGCAGCUGGGCCUCUGGCCACCCGUGUGGCCACCAGCACCCCGAGUUACCUUUCUGAUCUCCCGCAGAGCAUAGCAAUGCACCCCCUCCCGACCCCCGAACCAUGUGCCAAGGCGCUCCGCGUCCCUUCCUGGCUUUCCUUUUCUGACUAGAGAUUAUCUUCACGUGACACAUCAUAAGCAAUACUGGGCAUCUGUGGACGGUGCCCCCCGCCCUCCCCCUGCGAGAGGCCCCUGGGUCAGGAGCUCGUAUGGGCUGCUCACGGUGCCACCCCCACCUGGCGCGGUGCCUGCGUGGAGCAGGGACUCGCGAUGCUCUCCUCCUCUGCUCUCUCUCUGGUCUGCACCUCUUGUGGUCAUGCCUGGUCCCAUGGAAAUCUUCACAGCCAUCUCUAGAUCCGUGGCUCCCACAUGCGUCUCCUGAGCCCCCACUGAGCUCUGGAUGGACACUGCUUGCGGGGAGAGUGCCCUGCACGGCUGCCCAAUAGGUAUUUCAGACAUGGCGGGGCCACAGCACACCUUUUGGUUUCCCCUAGACUUUGACCCCCCCAGCCUUCAAGGGGGCACCAGUGCCUCCCUGCCUCAGGAAGUGGCAUCACUGCCCACCCAGCUGCUCCAGCCCAAACCAAGGAGUCCGCCUUGAUCCUCUGGGGCCCUCUGUCCAGUGCACCAGCAAGCCCGGGGGCUCCGCCUUCAGGGAACACCUGCCUCCUGGCCCAUCUCAGCUGCCCUGCCCUGGGCCAAGUGUCAGCCCUCUCUUGCCUGGUCAAUUCAAAGCCAGCUUCUAAUUGGUCUCCCUGCGUCUUCUCUCACCCCACCAUUCACCCUUCAUGUACCAACUGGGGCACUUCUUAAAAAGUCCUAAUCAGAGCAUGGCCCUCCCCAGUGGCUUCCUGCUGGAUCUAAAUAAACCCAGCACCUGACCACAGCCUCCAGGUUCUCACAUUUUCUGGUUAUUUCCUCUCCAACCUCAGUUCUUAUGCGUCCUCUUUUAUGUGCAGGCCUCUCCUGCGUUUCUUUCUGUUCCUGACCUCUGCCCUGGCCCGGGCAGCUCUUCCCAGGGACCAGUGCACGCCUGGCUCCCUCCAGCCAUGGAGAUCUCAGCUCCAACCCCAGCCUCGGGUGAGGCCUCUGUCCCCACGCACGCCCUCCUGCCACCAGCCCUUUCUAAGGGAAGUUCUGUUUCUUUCUGAGCAUUUCUCGCCACCUGAGUCAUCUGGUUGAUGGACUCAUUUACUGAGUCCCCGGCUGUCUCUCCACCAGAACGUGAGCUGCAAAGGGCAGGGCCCUGCCUGGGACCCUCAUGCCCCUCACACCAAGAAUCUCUUCUGCACGUGGAGGAGCCGCACUGAUCUCUACCCAAGGUCUUGUGAACAGACCCAGGGACGUUCCUCUGCCCCAUUUCAGCGCACCCCUUAGCGCCCCCUGCGUGCACCCCAGCAGGCUGCGCCAGCCUGGUCUGCAGACAGCAGCUGCCCUGACAGCACAUUUCCCCCAUCACCCCGGGCCUGGCUGCCCGGCGCAGAGACACCUCAGGAGAUGCCCAAGCCUGUGUUGCCAGGACAGCCUGCAGGACGGCAGCGUCACAUCACACCAAGGGGUCUCCCCUGAGCACCGCUGAUGAAACCACCACGGGGGGAAGGGGGGAAGGAGGGGAGAAGCCAGGAAGAGGGACCACGGAUGAGCGACAGCGGGGGCACAGGCGGCGUCCAGGCUUCAAGCCCUGCCGGCUGUGCCCUGGACGUGUGCAGCUACACCCAGAGCCUGGAGGCCCCGCGGCGGAGGCUCACAGGGCGCCACUGAAGGGGGCUCCAGCCCUGCGGCCGGCAGGAGCAGGAGCAGGAGCAGGGGGAGUGGCGGUAGGGGUCACCCCUCACCUGGCCAGGCCUUUGCUGUCUCAUCCCAAAGUCACUGUAGUUUGGGGAGAAGGAAGACACCUCCAGAUUGCUGGGUCACAGAGCUUCCAGGGGACAGGAAUAAUAAAGUAUUAGCUCCGGGGGAGCCCUAAGCACAUGUCAGGCACCGUGUGGAGGGUGUUACGCAAGUUCGCUUGGGGCAGGCAGGGGGUGAUGGAAAGGACAGCGGUUCACGUCUCCAAGUGCUCACGGGGUUCAGGGCACGGUCUGGGCAUUUUAGGGAAGGUGUGUCUGGGCAGGUGGGCUGGGCUGUACCUGGAAAGCUCUGGACACCUGAACAGGAUUCUUCCCCUGCAUCAGGAAGGUGGGGGAGGAAGGAAAGGGGCCCACUUUUCACUCAACCCUGAAUCUGUGAUCUGACGCACGCAGGUGGCCUCUGUCUCCCUGGGCCCAGCCCCACGUUCCUCCCGCGGCAUGUGCUGAGUCCUCACACCAGCCUGUACCCCCACGCAGACAGGCCCAGUCCCACAGCUGCCCAGGGCAGGAGGAAGGGUGGACCCGGACCCAGAAGCUGAGUUCCCUUCCCCACUCUGCCCCCUAGGUGCCUGUCGCGAGCGGGCACGGGGGCUGGUCCCUGCCCCGCGGGGCCUGGCAGACGGCUGCCUGGCAGGGCUGCUGCGUCAUCACUUCUCUGUCGGCCCCCGCCCGGCGUGAGCUGCCUGCCGGGCUCUCAAGCAGAGCAUCAAUAAUGGAACGCAGCUUGCAAGCUUUAAACAUUUGCCCAUAUUUUUUAAUACCCAUAGUAAAGCGCUAUUCAUCAUGAGACAAUGGCUUGGAAAAUACUUGGGGACAAGGCAGAGAGGUGGGGUGGGAGGGAACUUGGAUAGGGUC